rnacentral:rRNA from 1 species
AUUGAACGCUGGCGGCAGGCCUAACACAUGCAAGUCGAACGAGUGGCGGACGGGUGAGUAAUGUCUGGGAAACUGCCUGAUGGAGGGGGAUAACUACUGGAAACGGUAGCUAAUACCGCAUACCAUCGGAUGUGCCCAGAUGGGAUUAGCUAGUAGGUGGGGUAAAGGCUCACCUAGGCGACGAUCCCUAGCUGGUCUGAGAGGAUGACAAGCAACAUGGGACCGAGGACAGGGUCAAGACUCUGACGGGAGGCAGCAUGGGGGAAUAGUGAACAAGGGGCGCAAGCCUGAGGCAGCCAUGCCGGUUGUAUGAAGAAGGCCUUGGGGUGGUAAAGUAUUUUCAGCGGGGAGGGGUUACCCGCAGAAGAAGCACCGGCUAACUCCGUGCCAGCAGCCGCGGUAAUA